UACAGAGGGUGCAAGCGUUGUCCGGAAUUACUGGGCGUAAAGAGCUCGUAGGUGGUUUGUCGCGUUGUUCGUGAAAACUCACAGCUCAACUGUGGGCGUGCGGGCGAUACGGGCAGACUAGAGUACUGCAGGGGAGACUGGAAUUCCUGGUGUAGCGGUGGAAUGCGCAGAUAUCAGGAGGAACACCGGUGGCGAAGGCGGGUCUCUGGGCAGUAACUGACACUGGAGGCGCGGAAAGCGUUGGGGAGCGAACAGG
rnacentral:rRNA from 1 species